rnacentral:lncRNA from 1 species
CUUUUCAGUUCUCCUACCUUUCCAUGCUUCUAUUCCAGCUCUGUACCUGCUCUGCUGCUCACUCUGCCACCAUGAUGGAACAGACCAUCUCCUUCGCCAACUACUUUCUGGUCACCAUCUCCAAGAUGACAUGGCCCCCAUCAAAUGAGGCAAGCUACUGUUGCUGCAGGUGUAACAUGCCAGUAAACAGAUCGCCACGGACAAUCAGUGCAAAGACGUCAUGGACUGUACAGCCUGCAUUCACAAGGAGCAGGGCACCUUCUCCUUCUGGAGGAUAACUUGGCCAGUGUCAUCCACUACUUCCCCACUCAAGUCUUCAACUUUGUCUUUAAAGACAGCUGUCAUUCCAGCUUCUGCCCCUCCUUGCCUGAGGGCAGAGAGCUACCUCAAACAAAUCCAGCCUCGAAGGGCUCUUUCUGUGGGACUGCAGGAGCGGAAAAACCAAGCUGAAGACGUCGAGGCUGUGAGUACCUUUGAAAUCAAGGUUGCUGAUUGAGUUUACUCAUGUCAUAUUGACCCUACAGAUG